AUACAGAGGGUGCAAGCGUUAAUCGGAAUUACUGGGCGUAAAGCGCGCGUAGGCGGUCUAAUCAGUCGGAUGUGAAAGCCCCGGGCUCAACCUGGGAACUGCAUUCGAUACUGUUAAGCUAGAGUAUGGUAGAGGGAAGUGGAAUUCCAGGUGUAGCGGUGAAAUGCGUAGAUAUCUGGAGGAACAUCAGUGGCGAAGGCGACUUCCUGGACCAAUACUGACGCUGAGGUGCGAAAGCGUGGGGAGCAAACAGGAUUAGAUACCCUAGUAGUCC
rnacentral:rRNA from 1 species